UACGUAGGGUGCGAGCGUUGUCCGGAAUUACUGGGCGUAAAGAGCUCGUAGGUGGUUUGUCGCGUUGUCCGUGAAAACUCACAACUCAAUUGUGGGCGUGCGGGCGAUACGGGCAGACUGGAGUACUGCAGGGGAGACUGGAAUUCCUGGUGUAGCGGUGGAAUGCGCAGAUAUCAGGAGGAACACCGGUGGCGAAGGCGGGUCUCUGGGCAGUAACUGACGCUGAGGAGCGAAAGCGUGGGUAGCAAACAGG
rnacentral:rRNA from 1 species